rnacentral:rRNA from 1 species
UGGUGUACCAGUUGUCGUGCCAACGGCAUAGCUGGGUAGCUAUGUGUGGACGGGAUAAGUGCUGAAAGCAUCUAAGCAUGAAGCCCCCCUCAAGAUGAGAUUUCCCAACUUCGGUUAUAAGAUCCCUCAAAGAUGAUGAGGUUAAUAGGUUCGAGGUGGAAGCAUGGUGACAUGUGGAGCUGACGAAUACUAAUCGAUCGAAGACUUAAUCAAAA